rnacentral:misc_RNA from 1 species
GAUGAAGAACGUAGCGAAAUGCGAUAAGUAAUGUGAAUUGCAGAAUUCAGUGAAUCAUCGAAUCUUUGAACGCACAUUGCGCCCCCUGGUAUUCCGGGGGGCAUGCCUGUUCGAGCGUCAUUUCACCACUAAGCCUCGCUUGGUAUUGGGCAACGCGGUCCGCCGCGUGCCUCAAAUCGACCGGCUGGGUCUUCUGUCCCCUAAGCGUUGUGGAAACUAUUCGCUAAAGGGUGUUCGGGAGGCUACGCCGUAAAACAACCCCAUUUCUAAGGUUGACCUCGGAUCAGGUAGGGAUACCCGCUGAACUUAAGCAUAUCAAUAAGCGGAGGA